AUGGAACCCAAAGAAUUGUGCAUACAAUUACUGUCAGUCCGUCAGCUCGGUGAUCAGCACUAGCACAGCUAAUGGGAUGCAAUUGAGGAGCGUCCAUGCCUAUCCUAGGACCAUAUACUUUCAUUUUACCAUGACAUGAGCAAACGAUUCCAUCCACAGUCGAAGGCUCAAGAAUGUUGAUAGCAACAAUGUCAUUUGCGGCAAAUAUCUUGGCUUGCGUAUCAGCUGCGGGUUGUGAGUAUAUAUAUUGGUAGUUAUCGUCCGACAAAAUGUUUGUGCUAUUUAUGAAAUUAACGAAG
rnacentral:misc_RNA from 1 species